rnacentral:rRNA from 1 species
AUGGUCGGGCGAGCAGCGGCGCCAAAGCGGAGGGCUGGCAAUGGGCGGCAGAAGAUCGCCAUCCGGCGGAUCGAGAAGAAGGACGCCCGGCAGGUAUGCUUCGCUAAGCGCCGCCAGGGCCUGUUUAACAAGGCCAACGAGCUGGCGGUGCUGUGCGGCGCCCAGGUGGCCGCCGUCACCUUCUCGGACGGCGGAAAGGCCUUCUCCUUUGGGCACCCCUCCGCCGAGGCCGUCAUCGACCGCUUC